UCCCUUGUAACUCAGUUGAUAAAGAAUCUGCCUGCAGUGCAGGAAACCUGGGUUCAAUCCCUGGUUUGGGAA
rnacentral:tRNA from 1 species